UUGACAAUUUUAUUACCGGGCUCUGUAGGAAGAAGGUGCGCUUGGACGGAAAUGGUGACACAGAUGUGCCAUUGGGAAUUUCAAAAUAAACGGGGAUCUUAAAGAUGAUGAUAUAUCGACGUUUUCACUUUGCAUUGAUAAUAUUGGAUCGUUGAUCAUUGAAUCGUUACACCCCUAAUUAGCAGACAGUUAGAUCGUCCGUCCUGCAUUGGUGGCGGUGUGAUACUUUAAUGAUUUAGUGCAGUUUGAUUUAAGAUCAGUGACAGUCAAGUAAUGCGGACAAUGCAGCUAUUUUUAUUUGUUUUCCUUUAUUUAGGCUACAGUAAAAACCUAAUGCAGAGGUGUAAAUGUAAAGCUGCGGGUUGUUUCAUGCCUUACUGUUUAACAAGUGUUUUUUUUUUUUGAAUUGUUUAAUUAUGUACAGAUACACCGGCAAGUGCUCAGCUAGUCAUUGCAAAAGUUCAAAUGUAAGGGCUCCGUUAUUUAAUGACGUAAUGGAAACUACAUUCAAUACCGAGGGAAUAUUAGUCUUAAAGUCAUGUAAGGCGUGACGUCAAGGCAUAUUAUCUUAUUAUUUUCAACACAGUUUAUGAUAAAAAGGAUAAUUUUUAUCACAUCAACUCCAUUUAAAAACGCAUUUUUGUCCAAUCAAAACAAUUUAGUUUGUCUGUUUCAUCUUUUUUUGUCAAAAUGUAAACUGCGGGUAUGAAUAUGAAAGCACUGAUUUGAUGGGUAAAAUACUAUUUGAAUUUGUUGGAGAAAAAAAAAUGUUUGACUGCACUAUUAGAUCUUUUUGUGUUGGGUGUGGCAAUUGUUCUUGAAUGUGUUGCAUAUCGGGUUCAGCUAUUUAUGUAUAUCCUGAUUUAUGUUUACUUUGUUCAUUUCUUUGUGUUGCUUCAGGGUUUAUAACACCACUCCCUAACUGUAGUUCUCAGAAACAUAGAAAUCAUAUGGUUAUAAUCUAUGUUUGAAUAUAGAACAGUAGUGCUGCUACAUAAAUAAGCAAAGUCUACUUUUUAGUUUUAUUUAACAUUUUGUGUAUUUAGCUUCUUCAUUAUUUUAAUAGCUAAACAGUUGCACUAAUGUCUGUUAAGCCAGGGAAGUAAAUUAUUAGUUCAUAGUGUUUGUCAAACAAGUAGCAUUGUGGCAUUUUUAUCAGGAAAGUUAGAGGGGAAUUUUAGAGGAAAACAAAAAGGUUGCAUCUCAUUCGACAAUCCAAACUGAGGAAACAUAAGGUGUAGUGUAGCUGCAGAUAACACAGUUGAGCCUCUUAUCAAUACAUUUUUGAUUUGUUCUCACGUAGGUUGUGCUCUCUGGGUGUUUUGGUCAAUUAGACUGGCUCAGUGACUUUUGAUGCUUUGUAGUAAACUCUUGUUUAAAUGAGGUUUUUCUUGGAUAAGGUCAGUUUCGAUCGUGACUUUAUGGUAUUUUCUGUGCAGGACAUUGGUGUAAUAUUUUUGAUACAAAGGCGGUUUUUGACCAAAUGAAUUGUAAAAUAAAUGUUGCUGCCAAUGUUUGAAAAGAUGUAGAACCAAAUAAUAUGGGGGAUAUUUAAACACUUGAAAUGAAGGAUAAAUUUGUUGAUUAUGAAGGUUCAUAAAAUGCAGUAGAAAGACACUGUACAAUUGUACAAACAUGUGGCAGCCUUCUCUUAAUAUUUUUUUUGUCUUAAGUCUGAUCUGAAUAACUGAAACGUUUUUUCGUAGUACCUUUAAUAGGACAUUUUCUUGAUCUUGUUCAAUACAAAACACAGUCAGCAGAAUUGUUUGUGUCUAAUUAGACUGUCAUGAGGUUGAUUCAGUGGGUUUUGUGGCUGCAACCUGUUUGUAAUAAUGGGAGGUAAUGUGACAAUGUCAUUCAUUGUAACUGCCAAAUACACUGGUGAUUACGGGGCUUUAUUCUUUCCUGCUGUGGUAAAACUGACAUUUCAUUAAUAAAUAGUGUCUUUUUUUCCAUUU